GCUAUAAGAAAUAUCAACCAGACUAGAGAUAAUAUUGUUAUGGUGUUCGGAGCUAUAAGAAAUAUCAAUCAGACUACAGAUAAUAUUGAUGGGAAUCUUCGUGUUGUAAGAGUAAUCGUUUUUCCAAGG